CCUGAGACGUGGCAUCCAGUGACGGGCAUUUGUAGGGCGAAGCUCGUGUUCCCAUUACGCCAGCCUCGGGCUCAAGUUCCACAAGAUUGCCUCCUCCACCCCAGCUUUGAAGGCUCCAUCUGCACUAAAGAGAAAGAAAGAAAGAAAAAAAAGAAAAGAAAAGAAAAGAAAAAAAAGAAAGGAAAGGAAAAGAAAGGAAAGGAAAGGAAAAGAAAAGAAAAGGAGAAAAGAAAAGAAAAAACCUGCUGUCCCCGUCCCCCAGCACUACUGCCCCUGUCCAGGGACCAAAGAUGGGACGAAUCACCUCCCAGGUAAGAGGGUGCCAUUUACAGGGAGGUUGGGUGCAAAGCCGUGGGGCUUCUGUGGUGGAAUUUCCAGCAGUAGGACCACGGAUGGGGCAUUUCAAUCGCUGCGCUAUGUAAAGAUUGAAUUAUUCAGUGCCUGCAGGCAAGAAAUUCGGGGUGGGGGGCAAUGUGGCACUUCAAACCCCUCAGGAAGCUGCGGUGGCCCAGUGGUGCAGACGAUGGAAAGGGCAGGAGGGAGAAAACAGGAAUGUAUCAAGCACUCGCUAGGUGCCUUGACUGCGAUGUUCGGGAGAUGCGCAGCCAUAGGACGUGGGUGUCACUCACACCUGGGUCACUUGGACUCUACAGCCUGUGUCCUUGGGCCCUGGGCCCUGGCUGCUCCCUGCAAAGCCAAGCUUCAGAUGGCAAGCCCCCAAUUCCUCACCAGGUGCUAAUCUCCUCGCAGCCCCUCUGCUGUGCCCUUUCCACCCCCCUCAGUCGCCUUGUCUGCCCUGGUGCCUAGAAUGACCUUCCCUCUGCUGCUGGCUGAUGAUCUAGAGUCCACUCCUGAAGCCCAGCACCAGGAAGAAGGUCCUGGGGGGUGGGUGUGUUUGGUCUAAUUCACCAAGGCCCCCCUGACUCCUUGGUCUUGUCACCAUGGAAACCUUGUGAGGUCACUGAGAUCGUUAAAAUAGGAGAAAAAGUAUGUUUUGCGCUCUCGCCUAGAGAUCACCCACCGGCUCCAGGGGCUUCUGUGUAGGAGUGAGGAGGACAGCAGGCCGCGGGAGAGGAGACCAGCCCCAGCCCCAGGGAGGGAGUAACCCCUCAUCCCCAGGAUGCGGCUGCUCAGAUACCAGCGCUCUGCCUCCCUGAGAUUUUCCAGGUGUCCUUACCCUGAAAGAAAGAAUCCUGCAGCUUUGUGCACACGUCAAAGCAGGCUUCGUGCUACAUCCAGAGAAGCAGGAGAGGGCCUCUUCCCAGGCAGCGCUACCGAGUAAAUGCCUAUCAGACUCAGGGUGGGUGCUGGGAGCUACUGCGGAAGAGGUGGGGGCGGCCGGAACCACUGGUCCAGACCUUUCUCCCGCUCCAUCAAAGGUGAGAGUGGGGUUUGCUGGUUGGGGCUGGCACAGGAGUGGCCGGGGUCAGGGGCCCUUCCCACCUGUGGGUCGUACCUGGUGCCAUGGACCCUUCCCCCUUUUCCUGCGGGCUGCUGGCGGCCCCUGGAUGCUCACAGGCACCCUAGAGGGUCUAGUCCACCUGCUGUUCCCCUUCGAGUUCAGCAGCGUGGCUGACUGCUCGGCUCCUCAGAUUCUCCUCCUUUGUCCUACAGGGAACUCGUCUCCGGUCCACCUUCACCCCAGGAUCCAAAACGUCUCUCCACUGCCCUCCUGGAGUCCAGAUUUCUCUUGCCCCUUUCCAGACCUUCCCCAGUACCAACCACCAUGAAACUUCUCCUCGACCACCUUGCUGGCCAGUGGAUCUCCUCGUUUUUCUUGGCACUAGUCUCACGCUGCUUCUUUUGUUCACACCGUUCCCCAGGCCUGAGACAACCUCUUCCCCGGUGGUAUAUCUGUGUAAUCCUGUAGCAUACUCUUACUGUCACUUGCACCACCUCCGUCUGCACUUUUCCACAGCAGCCCCGCACCACCACAGGGACACCUCCAAUUCUCCGCUACUGCUGCCCUCACGGCCUCACAGCCUCCAUCACCAUUGGCCUCACCUCCCUGACACAGCGGUCCCCACUGCCGCCACUGUGAUGGCCUUCCUGUGGGCGGUGCCGCCCCCACCGGCUCCAUGACAACGCUGCACUCCCCAUCACCUCCACCCUAACCUGCCACUCACCGCAUGGCCACCCAUCGCUACACUGCACUGGUGACCAUCACCAUCACUGGAAGGGACAUUCAUAAAAUCAAUGGUUCAAUCAAUCAAUCAAUCAAUCAAUUUCAAAUCCCUCCACGGAGGCCAUCAAAGGAUCUAUAGGAGGGGCAGGUGGGUCACAUGGCCCCCAUUCUUGUUCCUGAGUCUCUUCAUCCUUCAAGGAGUCACUCACUGGUUGCCGUGUGUCACCAGAGCGGCCAUGGGGAUCCUCCUGUGGCACCUCGGAGCAUAACUGAGACAAAGCUAGAACUAAUAGUAAGGGGGCAAUAACACAAGCUGCUGCCGGGAAUACAAAUCAGCAUGAACUUUCUGAAGAGAAGUUCAAUUAAAAAAGAAAAAAAGAGUAGUUCAAUGAUAUGACAAUAGCCUUUGGAAAGUGCCUUCUCAGAAAUUUUACUUUUAAGAACCUAAGGAAAUAAUUAAUGUGCAAGGAUGAUGUGUGCUGUUAUAAUAGCAAAAACUAGAAACAGCCUAAGUGCAUAGCAGAAGAGAGAGAGAGAGAGAGAGAUUAAAAAAAAUCACAUGGACUAAAAAAAAAAAAAAUCACAUGGACUGGGAUCCCUGGGUGGCUCAGCAGUUUAGCGCCUGCCUUUGGCCCAGGGCAUGAUCCUGGAGUCCCGGGAUCAAGUCCUGCGACGGGCUCCCGGCAUGGAGCCUGCUUCUCCCUCUGCCUGUCUCUCUCUCUCUCUCUCUGUCUACCAUGAAUAAAUAAAUAAAAAAUUUUAAAAAUCA
rnacentral:lncRNA from 1 species